UUAAGCGACUAAGCGUACACGGUGGAUGCCCUGGCAGUCAGAGGCGAUGAAGGGCGUGCUAAUCUGCGAUAAGCGCCGGUAAGGUGAUAUGAACCGUUAUAACCGGCGAUACCCGAAUGGGGAAACCCAGUGUGAUUCGUCACACUAUCAUUAACUGAAUCCAUAGGUUAAUGAGGCGAACCGGGGGAACUGAAACAUCUAAGUACCCCGAGGAAAAGAAAUCAACCGAGAUUCCCCCAGUAGCGGCGAGCGAACGGGGAGGAGCCCAGAGCCUGAAUCAGCAUGUGUGUUAGUGGAAGCGUCUGGAAAGGCGCGCGAUACAGGGUGACAGCCCCGUACACAAAAGCGCAUGUGCUGUGAGCUCGAUGAGUAGGGCGGGACACGUGGUAUCCUGUCUGAAUAUGGGGGGACCAUCCUCCAAGGCUAAAUACUCCUGACUGACCGAUAGUGAACCAGUACCGUGAGGGAAAGGCGAAAAGAACCCCGGCGAGGGGAGUGAAAAAGAACCUGAAACCGUGUACGUACAAGCAGUGGGAGCCCCACCACUAAGCCAGUGGUGAACUCCACAUACGCAUCCUUUGCUGAGGAUACGGUUAACGGAGCGCAAGCGACGUUCAACCGCAAAAGAAGCAGAGGGGGCUUAGUGGUGGGGUGACUGCGUACCUUUUGUAUAAUGGGUCAGCGACUUAUAUUCUGUAGCAAGGUUAACCGUAUAGGGGAGCCGCAGGGAAACCGAGUCUUAACUGGGCGUUAAGUUGCAGGGUAUAGACCCGAAACCCGGUGAUCUAGCCAUGGGCAGGUUGAAGGUUGGGUAACACUAACUGGAGGACCGAACCGACUAAUGUUGAAAAAUUAGCGGAUGACCUGUGGCUGGGGGUGAAAGGCCAAUCAAACCGGGAGAUAGCUGGUUCUCCCCGAAAGCUAUUUAGGUAGCGCCUCGUGAAUUCAUCUCCGGGGGUAGAGCACUGUUUCGGCUAGGGGGCCAUCCCGGCUUACCAACCCGAUGCAAACUGCGAAUACCGGAGAAUGUUAUCACGGGAGACACACGGCGGGUGCUAACGUCCGUCGUGAAGAGGGAAACAACCCAGACCGCCAGCUAAGGUCCCAAAGUCAUGGUUAAGUGGGAAACGAUGUGGGAAGGCCCAGACAGCCAGGAUGUUGGCUUAGAAGCAGCCAUCAUUUAAAGAAAGCGUAAUAGCUCACUGGUCGAGUCGGCCUGCGCGGAAGAUGUAACGGGGCUAAACCAUGCACCGAAGCUGCGGCAGCGAGUAAUAGCUCACUGGUCGAGUCGGCCUGCGCGGAAGAUGUAACGGGGCUAAACCAUGCACCGAAGCUGCGGCAGCGAACGUAUCACUUAAAGCGAUUCAGCGGGUUACGAUUGACGGAGCGAAGCGACGUCAAAGCGUAUACAAAGUCGAGUCGGUUUAAGGAUACGUUCGUUGGGUAGGGGAGCGUUCUGUAAGCCUGUGAAGGUGUGUCGUGAGGCAUGCUGGAGGUAUCAGAAGUGCGAAUGCUNGUUGGGUAGGGGAGCGUUCUGUAAGCCUGUGAAGGUGGCCUGUGAGGGUUGCUGGAGGUAUCAGAAGUGCGAAUGCUGACAUAAGUAACGAUAAAGCGGGUGAAAAGCCCGCUCGCCGGAAGACCAAGGGUUCCUGUCCAACGUUAAUCGGGGCAGGGUGAGUCGACCCCUAAGGCGAGGCCGAAAGGCGUAGUCGAUGGGAAACGGGUUAAUAUUCCCGUACUUGGUGUUACUGCGAAGGGGGGACGGAGAAGGCUAUGUUGGCCGGGCGACGGUUGUCCCGGUUUAAGCGUGUAGGUGUGUGUUCCAGGUAAAUCCGGUUCACUUUAACACUGAGGCGUGAUGACGAGGCACUACGGUGCUGAAGCAACAAAUGCCCUGCUUCCAGGAAAAGCCUCUAAGCAUCAGGUAACACGAAAUCGUACCCCAAACCGACACAGGUGGUCAGGUAGAGAAUACCAAGGCGCUUGAGAGAACUCGGGUGAAGGAACUAGGCAAAAUGGUGCCGUAACUUCGGGAGAAGGCACGCUGACACGUAGGUGAAGUGAUUUACUCACGGAGCUGAAGUCAGUCGAAGAUACCAGCUGGCUGCAACUGUUUAUUAAAAACACAGCACUGUGCAAACACGAAAGUGGACGUAUACGGUGUGACGCCUGCCCGGUGCCGGAAGGUUAAUUGAUGGGGUCAGCGCAAGCGAAGCUCCUGAUCGAAGCCCCGGUAAACGGCGGCCGUAACUAUAACGGUCCUAAGGUAGCGAAAUUCCUUGUCGGGUAAGUUCCGACCUGCACGAAUGGCGUAAUGAUGGCCAGGCUGUCUCCACCCGAGACUCAGUGAAAUUGAACUCGCUGUGAAGAUGCAGUGUACCCGCGGCAAGACGGAAAGACCCCGUGAACCUUUACUAUAGCUUGACACUGAACAUUGAGCCUUGAUGUGUAGGAUAGGUGGGAGGCUUUGAAGUGUGGACGCCAGUCUGCAUGGAGCCGACCUUGAAAUACCACCCUUUAAUGUUUGAUGUUCUAACGUGGACCCGUGAUCCGGGUUGCGGACAGUGUCUGGUGGGUAGUUUGACUGGGGCGGUCUCCUCCUAAAGAGUAACGGAGGAGCACGAAGGUUGGCUAAUCCUGGUCGGACAUCAGGAGGUUAGUGCAAUGGCAUAAGCCAGCUUGACUGCGAGCGUGACGGCGCGAGCAGGUGCGAAAGCAGGUCAUAGUGAUCCGGUGGUUCUGAAUGGAAGGGCCAUCGCUCAACGGAUAAAAGGUACUCCGGGGAUAACAGGCUGAUACCGCCCAAGAGUUCAUAUCGACGGCGGUGUUUGGCACCUCGAUGUCGGCUCAUCACAUCCUGGGGCUGAAGUAGGUCCCAAGGGUAUGGCUGUUCGCCAUUUAAAGUGGUACGCGAGCUGGGUUUAGAACGUCGUGAGACAGUUCGGUCCCUAUCUGCCGUGGGCGCUGGAGAACUGAGGGGGGCUGCUCCUAGUACGAGAGGACCGGAGUGGACGCAUCACUGGUGUUCGGGUUGUCAUGCCAAUGGCACUGCCCGGUAGCUAAAUGCGGAAGAGAUAAGUGCUGAAAGCAUCUAAGCACGAAACUUGCCCCGAGAUGAGUUCUCCCUGAGACUUAAAGUCUCCUGAAGGAACGUUGAAGACGACGACGUUGAUAGGCCGGGUGUGUAAGCGCAGCGAUGCGUUGAGCUAACCGGUACUAAUGAACCGUGAGGCUUAACCUU
rnacentral:rRNA from 1 species